GGGAAUGUGGCUUAGUGGUAGAGUGCUUGCCUAGCAUGCAUGAGGCCCUGGGUUCAACACCCAGCACCA
rnacentral:tRNA from 1 species